UACGUAGGUGGCAAGCGUUGUCCGGAAUUAUUGGGCGUAAAGGGCUCGUAGGCGGUUUGUCGCGUCGGGAGUGAAAACACUGGGCUUAACUCAGUGCUUGCUUCCGAUACGGGCAGACUAGAGGUAUGCAGGGGAGAACGGAAUUCCUGGUGUAGCGGUGAAAUGCGCAGAUAUCAGGAGGAACACCGGUGGCGAAGGCGGUUCUCUGGGCAUUACCUGACGCUGAGGAGCGAAAGUGUGGGGAGCGAACAGG
rnacentral:rRNA from 1 species